CGCACAAGCGGNGGAGCAUGUGGUUUAAUUCGAAGCAACGCGAAGANCCUUACCAGGUCUUGACAUACUCGUGCUAUUCCUAGAGAUAGGAAGUUCCUUCGGGACACGGGAUACAGGUGGUGCAUGGUUGUCGUCAGCUCGUGUCGUGAGAUGUUGGGUUAAGUCCCGCAACGAGCGCAACCCUUAUUGUUAGUUGCCAUCAUUAAGUUGGGCACUCUAGCGAGACUGCCGGUAAUAAACCGGAGGAAGGUGGGGAUGACGUCAAAUCAUCAUGCCCCUUAUGACCUGGGCUACACACGUGCUACAAUGGUUGGUACAACGAGUCGCAAGACAGUGAUGUCAAGCUAAUCUCUUAAAGCCAAUCUCAGUUCGGAUUGUAGGCUGCAACUCGCCUACAUGAAGUCGGAAUCGCUAGUAAUCGCGGAUCAGCACGCCGCGGUGAAUACGUUCCCGGGCCUUGUACACACCGCCCGUCACACCACGAGAGUUUGUAAUACCCAAAGCCGGUGAGCUAACCUUUUAGGAGGCAGCCGUCUAAGGUAGGAUAGAUGAUUGGGGUGAAGUC
rnacentral:rRNA from 1 species